CACCUGCACACAAAUGCACUAUUGUCCCUUUCUAGUAGCCAUAUUUGGAACUCUUCCUGUGUCAAGGAGCUUGGCAAUAGAUGUGUAAUGAAGUGAGAAUUCUAAAUGUAUUUCAAGUUUAAGGCCAAAAUAACUGAAUUGAAAAGCCAUGUUUCCAUUUCAGCUACUCUGGCCUGAAGUUUGAAAUUCACUUUGAAUUCUCACAUUGGUGAAUAACCGUGUGAGGUAUUUCUGACCCCGGUGCUAGAUGUCAGGCUUGCAUAAUGUAUAGCUGAAAUUAAUGUUGCUAUAUAAUGGAGUUGACAGGACCAUUUUAAUAG